UAAAAUGCUUUUUCCUCGUAUGCAUUUCAGGGUGUAGGGAUUCUCAUGGAAAAUACUUCCCAUGGCUGGCAUGGGAGUUGAAGAAUUGUUGCAUGUGCAGCCAAAGGUAAAAGAGGGAUUCAUGUGUUACCUGAAUUGCAUUUUAUCUGAUUUACAAUUUGAUUAUAUGUAUGUUUGUGCAGUCUGGUGCUUGUGUUGCUCAUUUCUAUAUGUGCUAAAUGGAGGAUUUCUUUUUCAUCCAAAACCCUAGUAUUGCAGGAGAUAGUUGCUUUAUGGGUCAGUCUUCUUACCAAAUCUUAACUCUAUGCUGACUUCUUUUUCUUUGAUUUCCUACUCUUUGUUCUGCAUAUGUGUUUUCAACCUAACUAUUUUCAUAGGGAUCAAUGGAAAUUAUGAUUUUUCAAAGAAUAUUGAAAGUAGAAGAAAAUUAAGCAUUUGUGAAAUAUGGAGGAGCAAAAUGAUUUCUUAGUUUUAGCACAUCAGUUUACAGAAGAUAUUGUAAUUUCACAUGAUGAAAAUGAAGAGGGGAACCCAGAUUUCCAAUGGAGGGACUUUUUGGGCUUGGGGGACUAGAAAUGCAAGAUAUAAGUGCAAAUAUUGGAGUUACCCAACCAUAAAUCUGUCCGAAAAACUCGCUUUAAGGGGAGGAUGUUCCUCAUACACAAGAUGGAUUUAGCAUGGGGAUAAUUAGAUCCUAGAUGUUUGUAAGACUCAAUUCUAUCCAGUUUGCGUCCUUUUGGGGCUCCAUCAUGUGGGUUCUUUCCCCUUUUCGGUCAUCUUAAACUGGCUCUGAUGGUUGUUCGAUUGGUAACUCCGAAAGAUCAGAAUAGCUGUAUCUGCUAAGAUAAUGGAUGAAAUGAUAUGCUAACUUGGCAACUCGAAAAUAAUGGCCCGUGUCUUCCUCCUAUUAGGGUAUAUUGAAUUCUAAUUCAAGAAAAUUUUGCAGUAUUCAGGGUGGAAGCAGAUCACUUAAUCUUUUGUAGUAGGGAUUUAAGAGGUUUAGGCAGAUGCUUGAAGGUUUAUUCAUACUUAUUGUGAAGCAGAUCAUCUGGAAAACUGGGGAGUUAUCAUGCUGAAGACAUUUUUCUCCUUAUUGAAGUUUUCCAAACAAACCCUUCCAUCUAGGGUGAAUUAUUGGUUUCAUUUGGCUGAGUAGGAGAUUUCAGAUAGAAGCCAUCAAUCCUGGUCCUCAAGGGUGGAGUGGUAUGAUUACCAUCUAUGUAAAGACUUUGAAAUUUUUUUGUCAUUAACAAGCAUUUGUUGAUAAAUUUGCUUACCAUCUUCCACAAAUGAAAUUAUGGUUUUGAGUGUAUAAUUAUAACUGCUUAUGAUGAAAGGGAAAAACACCGACAAAGGACUCACUGGUUUUUUCUGCACAAAUGGGAGCAAUCUGUUAUUCUGGUUUCUUAUUACACACAAGCAAAACGAUCAUUUAUAGUUGUAAAUAGAGAGCUCUUCUUCUUACCUAGACUGAAAGUGACGGAGGUUUACUAUUUUAAGUUCAGUGACAUGUCCACAUUUUCUUCCUUUGCCUUACGAAGUGUUUCAAAUCCCAUUUCUUUCCAGACAUUCUUUAGCCUUUGAGCAACCGAAGAGAUAAGGGGACGCUUUUGGGGGUUCUCUUCUGUGCACAUCAUCCCUGCAUCGAGCAUGUGGAUACAGCAUUGCUCAAGCUUAUGUAAAGCACCACUCCCCUCUUCCAAAUAUGCUUCGUGCUUCAGUGAGAUGUCUACAAUAUCCAAAACUUGAUUUGGAAAAGCAGAACACACCCAUUUCCUUAGAUCAAGUCCAUCUGAAAACAUUUCAUUCGUUGGUCUCUUCCGUGUUAUCAUCUCUAACAUCAUCACUCCAAAACUGUAUACAUCUCCUCUUGUUGAGACAUCGAUCCCCUGCCCAUAUUCUGUGUACAAGCAAUAGGAACUAUUAGCUGAAUCACUGUACUUUUAUUUAUAUCCCUUCAAAUUAGGAUAGUCUGUUUAAAGAAAGAGACAUGGAUAGAUGCAGUUGGUUCAUAUUAACUAUCUGAAUAUCACAAGAAUGCAAGCAUCCUUCUUUUUCAUUUAGAUGUAAAUGCUUCUCAUUGGAAAAGCGAUUAGGAAACUAUCUGAAUAUCACUGUACUUAAAGAAAAGCGGGAGAAUAACCAACAAGACAUACCAUGUUGUUAAACAAAUUUAUCAUAAUGGUAUAUGAGGAAACACACAAAACCCUAUUUUUUCUUCUCGACUUCUAUCCUAUUAUUAACAGUUAGUUCUCUAGAAUAUAUGACCAUUGGGUAGGCAGUCAAAUGAAUGAAAACUAGACUAGUUUGAAGUUCAUGUGAGAUGAAAGAUUGGCAUUCAUGAUUAAAAGUAAUUAUCUAGUCUGAUAACUUAUCAUUUACUUCUCAGAUUUGAAGGUAGGUCGCUAACUUUUCCAAGAAGAUUCAAAGGGAUUAUGAAGCAUAGGAUUGAAGAUUUAUAUAAGGUAAUCAAAUGCAUACCUGGGGGGAUAUACCCGACAGAUCCUCGUAGAAAAGCAGUUGUGGUAGUAACAUGUCCUCUUGGUUUGUCACCUGAAAUGAGCUUUCCAAUACCAGAAUCUCCUACAUGAGCCACCAUAUCAUUGUCCAAAAGAACAUUUUGUGGUUUCAGGUCACAGUGUACAACUUGAACAGGACAACCCUCAUGAAGAUACUCCAAGCCAUUUGCAACAUCUAUUGCUAUUCCCAUUCUUUCCCUCAAUUUUAAUUCACUACCUCCUUCAUCUGACCCACCAGGGUAAAGAUGCUGUUCCAAGUUCCCAUUGCCUAUAUACUCGAGAACAAUAGCCUUGAAUCCUGAAUUCCAGGUCGAUCCUAUCAUUCUAACCAGAUUCCUAUGUCUAAUUUCAGACAGUAUUUGACACUCCCUUUUAAAACUUCUGUAACCCUGAACACGCUCUUCUUGCAGAACCUUAACUGCCACAACAGUUUUUCCAUCAUUGAUGAUAGCUUUAUACACCCUACCAAAACUUCCUUCCCCUAAUAGAUUAGCCUCAUCAAAACCGCCAGUAGCAAUUUCGAUUUCCCUUUCAGUUAAAGUUUGGGUUCCAUGAUGGGUUGGGGAAUACAUUAGAAUUGCAGUCUCCGCACCUGCACUCCUAUUUUUGAAGAAGAAACGACGAACAGUGAGGGCGAUCAGCACAAAGAGAAGCAGAGAACAAGUUAAUAUUGCAAACAGGUAAUAAAUCCAUUUCCUUUUCUUGUGCUUUUGUUUCAGAAUUUCACAUGGAUGGAGACCCAUAAGUUUGGUGCCACCACAGAGCCCCAUAUUCCCCAUGAAUGAGCUGCUUCCUAGAUUUUUAUACCUCCCACUAUUUGGAACCUCUCCUGUUAAUCUGUUAUACGAUAAAUUGAGAUUCUUGAUCUUCUGGCUGUCACCAAUCCAGAUUGGAACAUUUCCUGUUAAAUUAUUGAAAGCCAAGUCCAGAUAUCCUAGAUCAAUGAUUUGCUUCAGGGACUCUGGGAUUGUACCUUCAAGCAUGUUGUGAGAGAGGUUCAGAUACUCCAUUGAAAUGCAUCUUCCAAUCGAACUUGGUAUCACUCCGAAGAAUUUAUUCGCUGACAAGUCAAUUGCCAGCACAGAUGCCAGAUUUCCAAUACUAGCAGGUAGUUCUCCUUCAAGAUUGUUGUUCGAAAGGUUGAGUGAAAGAGCCAGGUUUGAGAAAUGACCAAUUUCUGUGGGAAGAGACCCUUGUAAGUUGUUAAAAGACAAAUCAAGAAGCAUUAGAAGAGAACAUUGGGUGAGUUCGAUGGGAAUUUUCCCUGUGAGGUGGUUGUGAGACAAGUAAAGAUAUCUCAACUGUGACAGAUUACCAAGAGAAGAUGGGAUUGUCCCACUAAUCAAAUUAUCACUAAGUUCCAGUAAACCAAGGUUAGCCAUCUGCCCAAGUUCAUCUGGAAUUGGCCCAAGAAGUUUGUUUCUUCCCAAGUGUAAUCUCUGCAACUGCCUAAGCUUCCCAAUUGUUGCAGGAACUCCAUUCAAAAAAUUAUACCACAGGUCUAGAGUCACAAGGCCGCUUAGAUUUCCAAUUUCAGCUGGUAGGUCUCCUGUUAAUUUGUUGUUUCGAAGAUUCAAGUAGUAGAGAUCUUUGGAAAGACUGCCAAUUGAAGCCGGUAAACUUCCUGCAAACAGACAUGCCCCUAAGUGCAGUUUCUGUAGACGUGAACAAUUAGUGAGAGGAGUUAGAAAACUGAGGGAAGAGUUGUUGGAACCGCUCACCAGGUUAUUGCUAUGAAGGUAAAGUCUCUCAAGUUUCUUCAACUUCCCCAACUCAGGAGGGACUUCCCCCUCUAACUGGUUGAGGCUAAGAUCAAGCAGUGUCAGCUGAGAAAGAUUGGACAGGGUCACUGGAAUUUUCCCAGAAAGUUGGUUUUCUUGGAAGUACAAUCUCUGCAAGUUAUGGAGCUUUGACCCCAAUUCGAAAGGGAUUGUUCCCGUUAACCGAUUCUCAAUCAGUGUAAUGUGACGCAGGGCAGUGCAAUUACUGAUGGAUGCAGGUAUGCUUCCUUCCAAAAAGUUGAUGUGGAGGUACAAUAUCUCCAGCUUUGUUAAUGCUCCUAGCUCCUCUGGAAUCCUUCCUGUGAAGUAAUUAACUUGCAAUUCUAAAUCUGUCAGCUUUGUCAGAUUCGAAAGAAACGAUGGUAUAGCUCCAGUGAGGCUGUUCUCAGAGAGACAAAGGUAUGUCAAGUUUGUCAUUUGGCCUAGUACAGCAGGAAUGCUUCCAGUCAGAUUGUUAUAGUCCAAGUCUAUUGUCUCCAGGCUCCAGCAGCCUUGUAUUGAGGCUGGAAUAUUGCCCCCAAGCUUAUUACCACUCAUGUUUAUGAAUGUUAACUCAGAAAGCUCUCCAAUGGUAGCUGGGAUCUCUCCAUACAAGCUGUUGGCUUGCAAAGAGAGGGUGGUGAGAUGGGAUAGAUUGGAUAUGUAUGGUGAGAUAACUCCCUGUAAGCGCAUGUUUAUGAGCUCAAUGGCUAUGACCCGGUUCUUAAGUUGCUGGUGGCAUGUAAUCCCUGUCCAGUUGCAGAAGAACCUGGUUUCAUUCCAAUCUUGGAGAUGACCAUCUGGAUCACCUGUUAUGCCUUGUUUGAAUUUGAGCAGAGAUUGACAAUCAGUGGAGUUUUUGCAGAGGAAUGUGGAAGUUGAUAGUAGAGCAAGACAACUAAGAGAGAAAAACACUGCCACAGCAACGGGAUUGUUCUGAUUGUAUGCCAUUCUCUCUCUCUCUCUCUCUCAGUGUGUGUGUACAGCUUUUGGAAUUCGAUGUUAGAUUUCAGGCCAAAAGUUUUUUUUCUCACUUGUUAGGUAAGAUGGGAUGAACAAUCAAUUUUCUUAAAAGUUUAAACUUAACGUGUAUCAUACUUUUCAACACUCGACGGGAUCAAUGGUAGAAGUUUAAAUAGAUGGGCUCAGUUGCUCAAAUGGUUCAGACAACUUGGCCUAGUGAGGGGCAGGUGGUGAGCCCUCAUUUAUCACUGGGACCAUAGAGCAAGACUUUUUGGUAUUGCCAUCACCUGUCUUAACUUCAUUCAACCUCUUCAAUGCUGUUUGACAUUUUCUUCCGUGACAGAAUUAAUAGCUAUGCAGUUUCCCAAAAUUUGCUCCGAACCCAUUGUCAUUUUUUUUUCUUCAUAUUUUAUAUUUUGUAUUUAUUUAUUUUUAUAUUAUUAUCAUUUAUUAUUUAUUUUAUUUUUCUUUCUUUUUCUUUUAUUUAUUUUAUUUUCUUCUUCCUUUCUUCCUCCAUGCAUGCACUACCAUUGUCACUUUUUUCUCUUUCUAAGGAUUUGCAAUUGACUCUAUUGAUAUUUUGUUGGUUGAGCAUGGAUUUAUGACUUAUAACACACACAUGGAAGGUUGAAUUUCAUGAAAGAAAAUGAGGGUUAGAAAAAUAAUAAAUGGGAAACAUUGAGCUUAUUGUGGGUUUGAUUUGGUACAAAUUCUUUUGUAUAUAUCUACUUGGGUAUACAAUUGAAUAUUUAAUUUAGGAAAAUUCAAAAAAUUGUUUUCAAUGAAAUUAAAAAAAAAAAUUAAUAACAAUUGCCUGGAAAUUUAUUUAUUUAAUAAACAUUGUUUUGUCAAUAAAAUUGUCAUCAAAGUUAAUUUUUAAUAAAAUUAUCUAAAAAAGUGAAUUUAUAAAUGAAAUUCUAUUUCCUUAAUUUAAAUGGGAUAAAAAGUAAUUUUUGUAAAUUAAAGUCUUAAAUAAUUUUUUCAUAAUAAUAGAACGAGAAUCUUUUUAGCAAAUUGAACUUAUACAAAUUAUUUUCUUUUCGUAAAUAAAGUUUGUAAAGAAAUUAUUUUCUUUAUAAAUAAAAUCAAAAUGAAAUAUUUUUACAACUAAAAGAAUAUUUAAUUGAGCAAGUGAUGAACUAUUUGCUUGUUUAAGUAACCUUUUGAAAUGUUCCCUCAGCAUAAUGGUAGUACAAUAAGAGGGUUUAUUAUGUACUUCUUUCUAUAUGGACUUUGGGUAUAAUAAAAACAAUGCUUUCUCUCUCUCUCUCUCUCUCUCUCUCUCUCUCUCUCUCUCUCCCCCUAGUCCACAGGUUUACACCCUCAGCUUUACCCUGGACUAAGUCCUGAAACCCAAAGAUUAUGCAGAAUCAAACUCUUAAAGUCUACAGCAUGAGUUGAAGAAAAAAGGAUGAGUAUUUAAUGUAGUAGUUGAGGAAUGAUUCAAUGUUUGAAAUAUAAAAAAUGCAAUCCAUUGAACACUUAGCUGGACUAUCUGCUUAUUGUAUACAUAAAACAUAGACUAAUCCGAAGACUUCUAUGUUAUAACUUUAGAAUUUUCAUAUCCAAGGUUUUCACUUCUUUCUCAUCAGAAGACAAAGAUUGUAACUGUUGCAGAAAACCUAACAACCUAGUUUAUUUGUUAAGGUCCCUUUCUCUCAUAAGACAUAAAUAUAUUCACUAUCAAACACCAUAAUGAUAAUAAUAAUGAUCUUCUUUUUGCUGUAUAUACACUACUUUAGAGUUUGUUCAAUGUUUGGUUACCAAGAAAACAGAAGGACUGAUCUGCUGCAUUAAAAGGUUAAGUAAUCCUGAAUACUUUCACUUCAUUUUGCCAUAUGUAGUUCUUCCAUUAGCUAGCCAUUUGGAACUAAAUCUUGUGGAGAACUUUUCAUAUUGGAGAUGGAUAUGAAAUUGGAUCUGCCUCCACCUCAUUGAACUUCACUUUCAACAUAUGCAUUGAGAAUAUUUAAGUUAAGAUCAGUAUACUAACUAACCCUACAUAAAUUAACAUGUAUUGGUGAAAACACUUAUCCUUGUAAGUGAGAAAGCAAAAAAAAAAAAAGAAAAAAAAAAAAGACCUACCCAUUGAAGACCAUCUAUAAAUUGACAUGUUUCUCAUGCAAAAAUUUUCACCCCUCACCUAAACACAAAGAUUUGUGAUUGUUUGGAGACAGUACUCUAACAAUGGAGAAAGGUGUUAGUUUCCUAGUAACUGUGGCCCUCAUGGCAUUGGCUUCAUCUUUUGCCUCUGCCUCUGAUCCAAGCCCACUGCAGGACACUUGCGUUGCCAUUGGGGAACCCAAGAAUGCUUGUAUUUCUUUAGUAACCAAUGAACUUGUCACUAUUUUCACUGAUCUUUCCAAUUCAAUAUUGGGCACAUUAAUGCAGUAGCCAUUGCUGGUCUAAGCAGCCAAAAUCCAGGUGUAAUCACCAUAUCCAAUGCAGUGUUUGGAUCAAAUCCACCAAUCAAUCCUGAUUUCCUGGCAACGGCCUUCCAGUUGGACAAGAAGGUGGUUGAAUUCCUUCAAGCACGAUUCUAGUGGGGAAAUAGAGAAAAUGAAGAAGCUAUGAACCUUUGAUUUGCUUGCUUGAAUGACUAUUUGUGAUGUUCAAUUACCUCAUUACAAUAAGAGGGGUUUAUUACUUUAUUUUGUAGCUCUUUUGGUGUGGACUUUGGUCCUAAUAUUAAAAUAAAGCAGUUUGUCUGUUAUGCAUCUUCUUCUGUCUCCAUCUCAAUAUUUGUCUUAAAAAAUCUUAUCUUGUGAAAAAACAACUCUCAGUUGAUUGAUUAACCUGCAUGUGCAGAAUGUUUAUUAAGAAUGAAUACUUAACUAGUUGUAAAACAGUACUACUGCUACUUCCAGCAUACUGCUGGCAGAAUUGGUGAUGAAGGAAUGAACAUUGAGGCAACAACUGCUGAGAAUUCAAAAAUAAAAAAGAUGCCAUUUUGCUUCUCUAUAUUUUCCCAUUAUAACUCAUCAACCGAGAUCGAAGAAACUAAUUAAGAUGUCCAAGUAAACCAUUUGAAUGGUGGGAGAAGCAUAAGUGUCAUGAAAAUUGUGAAGAAAGAAUGGAAAUGAAAACCCAGAAAUCUUAUGACAUCUACUGUAGACAAAUUAAUGUCUUAAAUAAUCUUUUCAUAAUAAUAGAACGAGAAUCUUUUUAGCAAAUUGAACUUAUACAAAUCAUUUUCUUUUCAUAAAUAAAGUUUAUAAAGAAAUUAUUUCCUUUAUAAAUAAAAUCAAAUUGAAAUAUUUUUGUAAAUAAAGUUCUAAAAAUUCAUUCUUUUUCUAGUAAAAGUAAGUCAAAAUAAUUUUUAUUGUCAAAUUGGAAUUUUUUGAAUAAAUUCUAUCCAAAUAAAAUUCAAUCAAAUCAUUUAUUGGAAAUAAAUAAAUAAAUUAAAAUCUUGAAAAAGUAAUAUUUAAAAUAUCUUUUUGUAAUCAAUUUAAUAAAUCGGGGUGUAUAAUUCUAAUGUCAUUUAUUUUGUACAUUUUUGUAAUUUAAUUUUAUAAUUAUUUUCUUGUAUAUUAAUUUGUGUCUUUAAUCUUGAUAUUCAUGAUUGAUCAAUUAACUGUCAUAAUUCAUUUUGUUUGUUUAGUAAAGAUUGUUAGUAUACAUGCUUAGAGGGGUAUUACCACUUAUUAUUGUACCUUUCUGAUAGACAACUUGACCCUUGAAUAUAGACUUGAUUUUACAGACAUGUCUUUUCUAAAUGAGGAUUUAUACAAAAUUUUCUUUCUUAUUUUAUUUUCUCUUUUAAAAAAUAAAUUAAAAUAAGUGGCAAUCCUAAUUUUUUUAUAUAAAAAAAAAAAAUCAAAAUUUCACAAUAAAAAUGAGUCUCACUGUCGAGUGGGAACACACGCAAAAAAUACGGGUCAACAUGUAUCCAAUUGAUUGGGGUCAAUGUCAAGAUGUAUGAUAAAGAUGCAAAAUUUGAAUAUGAAUCCUACCAUUGAUUGAAUCUUGAACUACCUGAUACUGGUUGUAACAAGUGAGAUAAGUUGCUAAGGUUUGCAUUGAAAUCCUCAAUUGAAAGUUACUAGUCAUCCAAAUAUGUAUAUAAAUCAAAGUGCACACAAUUGAUUUUCUUUCUCUUCUAAAUCCAAGAAAUCAACCUCCUUAAGCAAAAGACCUUAGAAUUCUUAGAGUGUGUUUGAUAGUGAUUUUAGGAAGUGUUUUUAACUUUUUUAAUAAUUGAAAAAUAAGAAUUUUGAAGUGUUAAAAAUGUUAGAAACGCUUCCUAAAAUCACUAUCAAACGCACUUUUAAUGUAAUUUGCUCUAUGUACCACUUGAUGUGGAUGUUAAGAUUGAUAUCCUUGGUCAUUGCCUAUAAUCCUAUAUCUAUAAUAGCAAGAAGACAUACAUUGAAACAUGAAUACCCUUUCACUAUGUUUGGUUUAUGGAAAAUACUAAGAAAAGAAAAUGUUCUGAAAAAUGUUUUUCUUAUAUUUAGUUUUAUUAUGAAAAAUAAGAAAAAAAUAAAAUAUAAUUAUAAUUAAUUAAAAUUUUAUGUAUUUUAAAAUUAUUUAAUAUUUAUAUAAUGAAGGAAAAUAAAUGAAACAAGCUUGAAAAAGUAUAUAAAAAUAAUUUAUUAAUUAUAACUUGUAUGCGACUAUUUUGUACUUUAAUCCCGUUUUUCUUUUAUUCUCUUGUAGGUACCUUGAUUUUAUAUAUUUGUAUCUUUAUUCGAUGAUUUAGAUUUCAUAUAUUUGUAUCUUUAAUUGAGAUUGCAAGAUCCGUACGGAUUCAGAUUAGGGAUGACAACGGUAUGGGCUUGAGGCAAGUUACUCAUAUCCCAAUCCAUUAUAUUUAUUCGUAUAUGUUAUCAUCCCCACCAAAAAAAGAAAUUAAAUGGGAAUAGGAAAUUCUCAUGCCUACCCCAUGCUAUCCCAUUAUUUAUUUAUUUAUUUUUCAAUUUUUAUUUCUAAAAUUUUAAGAAAAUUAAUAUUUUAAAUAUGUUAAAAAAAUUGAAAACUGAAAAAAGAAAUCAAUUAAAGAACUUUUUAUUUAACAUUAUACAUAAUUAGGCUGAGGUAGGAUGAAACAAACUCAUACCCAAAAUCACCCUGAAUCAAUCUUGGGUUUUUAAAAAUUUCUCAAAUUCAAGAUGAGACAAAAUCAUAUCCAAAACUAUCUCGAAUCCAUCCUAGAUUUUAAAAAUUUUCUCUAAUUUAUCUAAACUUUAUAUCAUUAUCUCAAAACGAGUACAUUAAGGGUAUGACAAGUACUAAAAAAAAAUUGGUAUAUUGUCAUCCCUAAUCAAGAUCCUAAAAUUUUUCUUUAUGAUAAUGAAAACAACAAUCAUAGUCGUCAUCUCUCUAUCAGUGUACUUUUUAGGUUUGAUCGAAUACACCUUAUGUGUUGCCUUUGGGGCAACCUAGCUCUCUCAAUCAUUGUCUAAAGUUCGGGUGUUUGUUUGUUUUAAUUUUUUUCGACUUUUUUUAAUACUAAAAGUAACUUAAUGACUUUUUUUUAACUUUUUAGUACUUAAUAAAAAUAAAAUAUUAAAAAACCAAAAACUGUGAUGUUUAAUACUUUUAAACACUAUAUAAUUUUAAGUUUUAUUCAAAAUUAAGUAAAAAAGAAAAAAAAAACACUCCUUUGAUGGUCAUCUAAAACUUUUAGGUCAAAGCUUGAUUUGGAGCUCAUUUAAACCUAACCCAAACUUCAACUAAAAAGACCUAUGUCCAACACAAUUAUUAGAGGUGUCCAAUGGGUCAUGUCGGGCCAACACAACCCAUGUUUAUCAGGCCAAUGCGUUGGCUCGACCCAUGCAAGCCAAAUAGGUGGCUUGACAUGGCCCAUAAACCCAUGGGCUAAUCAUGUCGUGUUGUGCCAUGUCGGUGAGUCGCCCCAUGGGCCACACACUUUAAUUAUUAUUUUUUAAUUUAUUUUGUCUUAAGUUUUUUAUUAUUAAAUAAAAUUUCUUUUUGUUACUUUAAACACCUCUAAUAAUUAUACUUUUUAUUUUUUAUAUUUAUAUUUAUCAAGUUUAUAACUGUAAAAUUUAUAAAAAUGUUAGUUUUUUGUUUUUAAAAAUAAUAAAAAGUGAUAUUUAAAGGGUUAAGUGGGCCAACAUGAUGGCACGACGGGUUGUUUCCUUAGGCCCACCACGACCCGCUCCUUUGGGCCAUGCCGGCCUGACUCGAUCUUUUGGCGCACUAGGCCACAGGCCAAAAUGGGUGGCUCGACCCAUUGGACACCUCUAGUAGUUACAUGUCUAGCAUCCAAACGGUAGACCAGGUGAGUUUUGUCAAACCCAACCCAUUCAUCCCCUUUGCUUCAUGUUGGCCACCCGGUUCAGACCAACCAUUGGGUUGAUUUGGGGUCUUGGUUAUUUUUGUUUAAAUAAAUUGCAAAGAAAAAAAAAACUUGGUUUGGAUAAAUAAACUUAAGUUGUUUUUAAAAUAAGCUUUUAUUUGAUUUUUUCUAAAAAAAUUUAUAAAUUCAAUUUGUACAAUAUUAAUUAUAUUUAAUUGAAGUCUUAUUAAAGAUUUAAAAAAAAAUAGUUUUUAAAUUAAAGAUAAAUUAAAAAAAAUCAUAAAAUAUGAAAUUAAUAUUAUAAUAAAAUCAUAAAUUAUGAUUUUUAUUUAAAAUGAUACUAUUUUAAGAUAUGAUUGAUUUAUUUAUUUUGAUAAGAAUGAAUAAUACUAAUUUUAAAAUAAUAAAAGGGUGAUAUAGUUUAUUUGAAAUAAAUUUAAAAAUAAAUAAAAUUUAUUUUUUUAAUACGUAAAUAAGCGAAGUUUUUCAUUAUAUCUACACCUGAGAAUUUAAUCAAGGAUAUAGUAUUUUGAACUAGUUUUGAUUCAUUCCUAUAAUCUUCAUUCAGUCAUUAUGGUUUAGACAAUUGAUAAUUAAUCUGUUGGCAUAAUUGAUUCUGCAAAACAGUAUCCUGAAUUUAGUAUCGAGGGAGGCAGAAACACAGCGAGAGAGAGAGAGAGAGAGAGAGAGAGAGAGAGAGAGAGAGAGAGAUGAUGCUUAACAAUUAACAGACUGCAGACUGCUUUAUUGUAGUAAUAUGCCCAAAGUCCACACCAGAAGAGUUACAACCAGACCCUCUUAUUAUACCAUGUUUGUUACAAUGAGGGAAUUGAACAUCAUGAAUCGUCAUUCAAGCAAGGAAAUCAAAGGUUGACAGCUUAUUCUUUUUCUAUAUUUCCCCACUAGAAUCGUGCUUGAAGGUAUUCAACCACCCUCUUGUCCAACUGGAAGGCCCUUGCCAGGAAAUCAGGAUUGAUGGGUGGAUUUGAUCCAAACAUUGAACUGGCUAUGGUGAUUACACCUGGAUUUUGGCUGUUAAAAGCGGCAAUGGCUACUGCAUUAGUGUGCCCAAUGUUGACUUGGAAGUGAAUGAGACUGAAAGGGAACACAAAAACAUCCCCCUUGUUCAGGACUUUGCUAAUGAAGCGGUGUUCAGGGUUGGAUGUGAUAAAGCCAACAAAGAGUGUUCCCUCCAAGACAAUGAAGACCUCACUGGCACGAGGGUGAAAGUGAGGAGGGUUUUGACCAUUAGGUUCAUAAUCGAUACGAGCCACUGACACCCCAAGAGUGUUUUCUCCUGGUAAUUGAUCAACAUUUAUAAGAUUGACAAUUGAGCCCACAUAAUUUGAUGUGUUUCCUGGAAUAUUCAGCCCUUGAUACAAGAAAUCCUCGGCCACGGUCAGGUUUGGGUUCUUGCAGAACUUCCCAUUUACAAAUACUGCAUGAAGAAGGAAAAAAGAAAAGAUAUAUCAUUAGUAUCAAACCAUACUCACCAUAUCAAUAAAAAGAGAAGUACUGAAAAUAGCUAUAAGAUCAUUGGUUACUAUAGAAAUACCAGCAUUAUUGGGCUCAUCAACGGCAACACAGGUGUCUUCCAGUGGGCUUGGAUCAUAGGCAGAGGCAAGAAAGGAAGCCAAUGCCAUGAAGGCCACGGUUACCAGGAAACUAACGCCUCUCUUCAUUGUUAGAGUACUGCCUCCAACAAUCACAAUCUUUAUCUUUAGGCGGGGAUAAGAAAUUUAGCAUGGAAAAGAUGUUAAUUUAUAGACCAGAGUCGAUGAGUUAGUCUUUGCAUAAACUCACCAAGUCUUCAAUGGGAAGUUUUUUCUUCUUUCUUUUUUCACUUUCGAGGACAAGCGGUUGCACCAAUACAUGUUGAUUUACGUAGGAUUAGUCAGUAAACAGAUCUUAACCAGAAUAUAAAGCAAUGUACAAUCAGGUGGAGGCAGGUCCAAUUUAAUAUCAAUCUGCAUGAUCCAAACGUUUACAUUGUUUCAACAUUUUUGUAUUAUGGUUUUUAUGAACUGUGUUUUUUUGAGUUGUAAGGAAGAAAAACUUAGGUUUAAAGUUCUAGCAUAGAAGAAAAAACCUGUAGAUUAAUUGAUUUUUUAAUCUGAACCAAACACAUGAUCAACUCCAUAAAAACAAGUGGAAAACAAGAAAAAAUGAAUGAUUUUUAAUAUGUAUUUGUGUGAGAAUGAUAGGUAUAGAUUUUUUUUUGAGAUAUACUGCCACAUAAUCUUCAUCCCUUCUAAAAAACGAGAGAGAAAAAAAAAAGAAUGAUUUUUCUGUUUGUAUCUAAGUGAGAAUGAGAUAUAGAAUUUCACUCCAGACGCAUUAAUUUUAUCUCAUACUGCCAUGCUAGACCAAAUCAGCCCUUAACGACAACCACACUGUUUUGUGGGGGGGGGGUUACUUUUGUUCCAUUAUAUUCACAGAAUCUUCAAAUCCAUUCUUUGGAUUAAUCUGCAUGAGGAAAUCUGUUACUGUUAGUGACGGAAACCUGUUAUUGUUAGUACCGGAGUCAACUGUUUGACUGGGUGGGUUCCAAUCAGAUCCUAAGGAAUGGGUCCAAAGGUCAUCCAUUAGAGUUAAUGGAAUUCAUUGUUGUUCUUGUGCCUUGAUGUGUGAGCCCAACACGCACAGAUGCAACUAGGGAUGGCAACGGGGCGGGUUUUUUCGGGUACCCGCCCUGCCCCGCCCCUAAUGGGAUGGGGUUGAAAUUUAAUAAAUGGGUUUUUAACGGGUAUAAGAUUUUUUUUUUUAAACCCGGGGCGGGUUCGGGUAUUGCCCCAUCCCGCCCCGCCCCGCCCCGCCCCGCCCCGCCCCGCCCCGUUUACAUAUAAAAUCAAUUUUAAAAUUUAAUUUAAUUUAAUUUAAAUUUUAAAAUUAAUUUUAUUUUACUAUUUUUAAUAUAUAGAUAAUAAAAAAAAAUUAAUAAAAUAAAUUAUAAAAAAUAUAAUAAUUUUAUUAUUUAUAAAUAUAUUUAUUUUAAUGUAAUUAAAAAUUUUAAAAGCAAUUUUUUUUUUUUUUAAAAAGGAGGCUAAACAGGGCUGGGCGGGGCGGGUUUGGGAAUUUCCCAUACCUGCCCCGCCCCGCCCCGCCCUGCCCCGUUUAAUUUUUUAAACGGGACGGGGAUGGGAAUUAUUUUUAAUAAACGGGGCGGGGUUGGGAUGGGGGCGACCCGUCCCGAACCUGCCCCGUUGCCAUUCCUAGAUGCAACAGUAUGAGUCAUGUGCAGGUAGAUUUGAAUAGACACAUCUUGGCAUCGGGAUGGCUUGAGCAAGGUGUAGUCUCCUACAAUAGGAAGCAUGGUGAACUGAUGCAUCACAUGAGCAAGACUCCUAUUGCAUGAGACAUACUCCUAUCACAUGAGACUUCUAGUCAAAGUGGGAGAUUGAGACCUAAUAUUGCAGGAAGAGAAAGGGACUCUUGACAUGAGAAGACUCCUAAUCGGGAUAGAAAACUAAAUCUUCAUGCAUAAGGAGAUAGAGAGAUGUGGCAUGAGAGUUUUAGAUUCAGUAGGACUUGGAGUCCUACUCAAAUUUGUCAUCUGUUAAGCUUGAGUCGGACGCAAACUAGGACUCAAAAGUUAGUCUCCUAGUAGGAUUAGGAUGGCUUGGUGCAACCUUCAUAAAAGGAGGGCGUGACCCAAUAGGAUGCUCCAAAAAUGGUACCUUACGUGAUAGGAAGGCCCCUUCAAAAGUCAUAUUGCUUGUACCACCAAGACACCACCACUAAGUAUUUGUCCAUAUCUUAAUCCAUGUGUGCAUGGAGAUGAACAUAAAUAUAUAUAGAAAAGAUAAAUAUUAGAAGACAAGUCUCCACAAAGAGACAAAAAUAUAGAAGGCUUCGGUCAACCAAUCCCGCUAUGCGUGGCAAAUGUUUCAGGGGACUGCGUAGGAUUGAACAGCCUUUGCUAGAGGGAAGAUCAAUCUAUGGGCGUGAAUAAAGAGAGAACUGGAGAAGUAUUGGAACAGGCGGGUCACCUCAGUUGACCAGGAAACAUGGCAUUAGUCAACGCAAACCUUGGCUUUCGAUCUCUACAUCGGUGCUGAAUAUUGUUGAACGGAAACACGUGGCCAGCUACAUUGGUUCUAGACAACAAAGGCUGCAACAAUUAACCUGAAAUUGAAAAUUUUGAAAUUUUUUUGAAAACAUAACAUCUUAAGAUGACUGGUAACCUUCUCUUAUUGGUUGGCUCUAAAUCAAAACCACUAUACAUGCAUUGUUCAAUGUAUAUAUGAUGUAGCAUUUUUGUGUUUUGUCUUUUACAAGUUGUAUAUAUUGGAAAAUUCUGACACCAUACAAAAACAUAGAAAAGCCACAAAUACCGCAACUUGCAUAUUUUCAUUUUAUGGCUGAAACUUUUCAAUGAAUCAUUAUCUUUAUUUCAAACUUUAAAAUUUUGAAAACAUAACAUCUUAAGAUGACUCGUAACCUUCUCUUAUUGGUUGGCUCUAAAUCAAAACCACUAUACAUGCAUUGUUCAAUGUAUAUAUGAUGUAGUAUUUUUGUGUUUUGUCUUUUACAAGUUUUAUAAAUUGGAAAAUUCUGACACCAUACAAAAACAUAGAAAAGCCACAAAUACCGCAACUUGCAUAUUUUUAUUUUAUUUUAAUUAUUUAUAGUUGAUUAGGUUUAUGGUAUGCCAUGUUGGAUGCUUUCAGAUUUUACAGAUCUAAGUUACUUUUAUUUUGAGAACGAAUAUUCCAUAAUUCAACCUUUUCCUUUUCUUGUUGGUAAUCAUGAUACAUAAAAUCUAGGAAUGCUAAACACAUCUUUUUUAAAAGUACUAUAUUGUAUUACAAUAGGAAAUGGCUUUUAUCAAAAGAGAAAUAUCCUUAAAUUGAUUAGGCCUAGCUCAUACUUUCAUCAACCAUAUGAUGACAUGAAAAAAAUCAAAGAAGAAAUAUGGGAAAUGGUACGAAAAGAGAUGGGUAGUAAUAACAUGAGACAACAACUUGUUUUACAACUAGUUGUAGCAGAAAAACCAAUGUUUAAAAUGAUAGAAGAGCCCCAACCACCAGAACCACCACUGAAACACAAGGUAUGCAUUUACUUACUAAUAAUACAAGAUUAAUAUAAGUGACAUAAAGCCUAUGUAAAUGAUAUUAUUUGUUGUAUUGAAGGUAAUUAAAUGUAAAUUAGCAGUGGAAAGAAAAGAAAAUGUUGUUCCAACUGGUACACUAAUAGAAGAAAAAGGAUCGAAUAGGUUGGUUGUAAUAAAUGCUGCACACAAGCCAGAUGCUAGACUCCCAUUUCCAAAUCCAUAUGAGAUUAUCAAUGUUGGGGAUGCUAUUGGCUUUGAGCUUGACUGGCCAACAAGCCUUGUCAUACUUGAAACUGAACAUCCUUAGGUAUGUCAUUUUAUGCCUAUAGUAAAUUUGAUUGUAACUUGGUAUUUUAUUGUUUAGGAGUAUAUAUAUCUAACAUUCCUUCCUUUUUCAUAGGUGUUGGAUAAAGGAAAGAAGAAGAUAGUGAAGACACCAAUUUUUUGAAAAUCUAAGCCUCAAAAUCAUUCGGUCAUUAAAAAUUUUCAAAAAUUUGUGGAUGGUUGUCUUGGUAAUGACAAGACAUACCCAAUACAGCUCCCCAUUUCACUUUUUGGUGUCGAAUUUCAAACAUAUAUAUCUAGAGAGGAUUGUGAAUACAUUAUUUCAUCUUUAGAGGUGUCAUCAAACUGCAUCUCCUUCUAUUUAUGGUGUGCACCUUUUAUUUUCAUUUGUUUUUAUUUUUUUAAAUAUGAGUUGCCCAUGUUGAACGAAAUUGGAUAUGACUAAUGAUAAUUUUCUUUUGGUGUUUUGAUACAAUAAUAGGCACAUGCAUGAUCAACUACAUAUUGCCAAAAAGGAAUCACAAUUUAUAUUUGUUAAUCCUUUUACAAUAUCACGAGCAAGCCUUAGUACUCAUCAAACAGAGAAAAGAGCACAAUUGUUGUCAAAACGCUUAAUGGAGUGCCAAGAUGCUAAAUAUGUUUUCAUACCUUACAACCCUGAGUAAGUGACAAAUAUUAUACUUUAAUUUGAGGUUUUAUGAUUGAUUUAUAUUUCUAAUUAGACGCUACUUUUGUUUUUAAUGUUUUAGCUUUCAUUGGGUCUUGGUGGUGAUUGAGCCAAGGAAAAUGAUAGUCCACUAUCUUGACCCUAUGCAUCACAAACUAUUUGAGGACUUAAAGAAUAUCGUAAACAUGUAAGUUCUUCCUAUUAUUUUUCAUAGUAUUAUUUUUUUUUUUUUAUAAAAAAUACAUUCAUCUCAAACACAUUGAACUUAUUUACAUAGGGCACUUCGAAUAUCUACAAAGAAAACAUCUAAAAGGGAGCCAUCUUGGCAACUAGUGCAGGUGACAUCCAAAAAAUUUUCUUUACACAUUAGCUUAUGCAUUUGCACCAUUUAUAUAUAUGAGUACUAAUGUUAUUUUAUAAUUGAUCGAUUAGUGUCCAAGACAAGAAGGAGGGUUCGAAUGUGGCUACUUUGUUAUGAGAUUCAUAAAAGAGAUAAUUUUUUAUCCUACAAUUAUUGCUUCAAAGGUAUUACAAAUUUAAUGAAUUGUACAUAGUUUUAGGCUUCCAAAUGUUAUGCAUUUUAAUGUUAUUUUCUUAUUUGAUUUCAGUUUGGUGAUAAAAAAACAUAUUCUCAAGUAGAAUUCGAUGAAAUUAGAGAAAAAUGGGCUACUUUUGUGCUACAACUAAUCAUGAAUCAUGUUGAUGCAUCAUGAUCACCAUGCAUGGUGAGUCCUUUAGCUACUACAUGAAUUUUUCCAUAGGUUCUUUGAAUAAUGUUUCUAUUUGAAAAAAAAAAAGAAAAAAAAAUAGUUCUUAGAUUUUUUUCAUUUAUGAUAACAUCGAUCCAUGUUUAUUUUCUUCAAUAAAAAUCUAUAAAACUCAUUAAACUAUGAAAUGCAAGUAUACACUUUUGGGAUGGUGGAAUGGAGAAUAAAAAGAAAGAAGAAGGCAACAAGAUUUUGGGUUUUUAAAUGCAACUCUUAUGUCAUACGUUGUAGGACAUAAAUGUUAAUUUAAUUAGUACUGAGAAAUUUAGAUUUUUAGAUGGGACUUUUAUGUCAUUUUAUAGUUAGCCGGUUUUAUGCUUAUGAAUUGGAGGUAUACAUGAAUCUUGGGAUCUUUAACAUUUCUAAAUCAUGUUUUGGUAUGUAUUCACUCUUCUUUUUUUAGUUUUGAUGGGUUUGAUAUGUUGGAUGUACUAUCUUUUUGUGAACAUUUGAUAUACAAAUAUUAUUAGAUGAUCAAUGUAUUAUGAGUUAUUCUAGAAACAUUACAGAAAAAUGAGUUAAAUAUAAUAUUAUUGUUAUAUUUAUGGACAAAAAAUAAAUAGGUUAAUCUUACUUAUUAAUUCAUAAGCAUUACAAAAAUUUAUAACUAAAAGCAAUCAUAUCUUCCACAAUAAUUUACAAUGAUGUGACACCAUUACUCAAAGGUGAUGCAUUUAAUAUGACAUUAUAAUUCAAAGAUGAUGCAUUUAAUGCGAUACCCUCUCAUCACUAGAAAUAUAUGGUGUCACUUCCGAAUGGGUCACCAUUUAUCUACUUUGGUGUCACUUCCAAAUACGUUACCAAUUGGUACCCUCUAUGGUAUCAGUGGAGAAGGUGACGCUAUGUUGUAGUGACACCCUAUGUUUAUGGUAACUCGUUAUAAAUGUCACCAUAUAUCUUUUUCCCUAUAGUGUAUAGCUCCAGUGAGGCUGUUCUCAGAGAAACAAAGGUAUGUCAAGUUUGUCAUUUGGCCUAGUACAGCAGGAAUGCUUCCAGUCAGAUUGUUAUCGUCCAAGUCUAUUGUCUCCAGGCUCCAAUAGCCUUGUAUGGAGGCUGGAAUAUUGCCUCCAAGCUUAUUACAACUCAUGUUUAUGAAUGUUAACUCAGAAAGCUCUCCAAUGGUAGCUGGGAUCCCUCCAUACAAGCUGUUGCCUUGCAAAGAGAGGGUGGUGAGAUGGGAUAGAUUGGAUAUGUAUGGUGAGAUAACUCCCUGUAAGCGCAUGUUUAUGAGCUUGAUUGACUCUAUUGAUAUUUUGUUGGUUGAGCAUGGAUUUAUGACUUAUAACGCACACGUGGAGGGUUGAAUUUCAUGAAAGAAAAUGAGGGUCAGAAAAAUAAUAAAUGGCAAGACAUUGAGCUUAUUGUGGGUAUGAUUGGGUACAAAUUCUUUUGUAUAUAUCUACUUGGGGUAUACAAUUGAAUAUUUAAUUUAGGAAGAUUCAAAAAAUUGUUUUCAAUGAAAUUCAAUAAUAAUAAUAAUAAUAAUAACAAUUGCCUGGAAAUUUAUUUAUUUAAUAAACAUUGUUUUGUCAUCAAAGUUAAUUUUUAAUAAAAUUAUCUAAAAAAAUGAAUUUUUAAAUAAAAUUCUAUUUCCUUAAUUAAAAUGGGCUAAAAAGUAAUUUUUGCAAAUUAAUGUCUUAAAUAACCUUUUCAUAAUAAUAGAAUGAGAAUCUUUUUAGCAAAUUGAACUUAUACAAAUCAUUUUCUUUUUGUAAAUAAAGUUUGUAAAAAAAUUAUUUUCUUUAUAAAUAAAAUCAAAUUGAAAUAUUUUUACAACUAAAAGAAUAUUUAGUUGAGCAAGUGAUGAACUAUUUUCUUGUUUAAGUAACCUUUUGUAAUGUUCCCCCAGCAUAAUGGUAGUACAAUAAGAGGGUUUAUUAUGUACUUCUUUCUAUAUGGACUUUGGGUAUAAUAAAAACAAUGCUUUCUCUUUCUCUCUCUCUCUCUCUCCCCCUCAGUCCACAGGUUUAGACCCUUAGCUUUACCCUGCACUAAGUCUUGAAAGCCAAAGAUUAUGCAGAAUCAAACUCUUAAAGUCUACAGCAUGAGUUGAGGAAAAAAGGAUGAGUAUUUAACGUAGUAGUUGAGGAAUGAUUCAAUGUUUGAAAUAUAAAAAAUGCAAUCCAUUGAACACUUAGCUGGCCUAUCUGCUUAUUAUUGUAUACAUAAAACAUAGACUAAUCCGAAGACUUCUAUGUGAUAACUUUAGAAUUUUCAUAUCCAAGGUUUUCACUUCUUUCUCAUCAGAAGACAAAGAUUGUAACUGUUGCAGAAAACCUAACAACCUAGUUUAUUUGUUAAGGUCCCUUUCUCUCAUAAAACAUAAAUAUAUUCACUAUCAAACACCAUAAUGAUAAUAAUAAUUAAUGAUCUUCUUUUUGCUGUAUAUACACUACUUUAGAGUUUGUUCAAUGUUUGGUUACCAAGAAAACACAAGGACUGAUCUGCUGCAUUAAAAGGUUAAUAUGUAGUUCUUCCAUUAGCUAGCCAUUUGGAACUAAGUCUUGUGGAGAACUUUUCAUAUUGGAGAUGGAUAUGAAAUUGGACCUGCCUCCACCUCAUUGAACUUCACUUUCAACAUAUGCAUUGAGAAUAUUUAAGUUAAGAUCAGUAUACUAACUAACCCUACAUAAAUUAACAUGUAUUGGUGAAAACACUUAUCCUUGUAAGUGAGAAAGCAAAAAAAGAAAAAAAAAAAAAGAAAAAAGAGAGAGACCUACCCAUUGAAGACUGUCUAUAAAUUGACAUGUUUCUCAUGCAAAAAUUUUCACCCCUCGCCUAAACGCAAAGAUUUGUAAUUGUUUGGAGACAGUACUCUAACAAUGGAGAAAGGUGUUAGUUUCCUAGUAACUGUGGCCCUCAUGGCAUUGGCUUCAUCUUUUGCCUCUGCCUCUGAUCCAAGCCCACUGCAGGACACUUGCGUUGCCAGACCCAAGAAUGCUGGUAUUUCUUUAGUAACCAACGAACUUGUCUCUAUUUUCACUAAUCUUUCCAAUUCAAUAUUGGGCACAUUAAUGCAGUAGCCAUUGCUGGUCUGAGCAGCCAAAAUCCAGGUGUAA
rnacentral:lncRNA from 1 species